GACGAACGCUGGCGGCGUGCCUAAUACAUGCAAGUAGAACGCUGAAGAGAGGAGCUUGCUCUUCUUGGAUGAGUUGCGAACGGGUGAGUAACGCGUAGGUAACCUGCCUGGUAGCGGGGGAUAACUAUUGGAAACGAUAGCUAAUACCGCAUAAAAUUGAUUAUUGCAUGAUAAUUAAUUGAAAGAUGCAACUGCAUCACUACCAGAUGGACCUGCGUUGUAUUAGCUAGUUGGUGAGGUAACGGCUCACCAAGGCGACGAUACAUAGCCGACCUGAGAGGGUGAUCGGCCACACUGGGACUGAGACACGGCCCAGACUCCUACGGGAGGCAGCAGUAGGGAAUCUUCGGCAAUGGGGGGAACCCUGACCGAGCAACGCCGCGUGAGUGAAGAAGGGUUUCGGAUCGUAAAGCUCGGUUGUAAGAGAAGAACGGGUGUGAGAGUGGAAAGUUCACACUGUGACGGUAGCUUACCAGAAAGGGACGGCUAACUACGUG
rnacentral:rRNA from 1 species